UACGUAGGGUGCAAGCGUUGUUCGGAAUUACUGGGCGUAAAGGGCGCGUAGGCGGUUUCGUAAGUCCCGUGUGAAAGCCCCCGGCUCAACUGGGGAAUUGCACGGGAAACUGCGAGGCUUGAGUUCGGGAGAGGGAAGCGGAAUUCCGGGUGUAGCGGUGAAAUGCGUAGAUAUCCGGAGGAACACCGGUGGCGAAGGCGGCUUCCUGGACCGACACUGACGCUGAGGCGCGAAAGCUAGGGGAGCAAACGGG
rnacentral:rRNA from 1 species